CCCUUAGAUGUCCUGGGCCGCACGCGCGCUACACUGAGUGUCUGAGAUACGAGUCUGCCUGGUCCGGCAAGGUCUAGGUAAUCGCUAAAAGACACAUCAUGCUUGGGAUAGAUUAUUGCAAAUAUUAAUCUUGAACGAGGAAUUCCUAGUAAGCGCAAGUCAACAGCUUGCGUUGAUUACGUCCCUGCCCUUUGUACACACCGCCCGUCGCUCCUACCGAUUGAGCAUCCCGGUGAAGACUCAAGAGAUGUGCGUGCGGCUGGUUUCCAGCUGCGCCGCGCGUCGAAUUUGUCUAAACCUUGAUGCUUAGAGGAAGGAGAAGUCGUAACA
rnacentral:rRNA from 1 species